rnacentral:tRNA from 1 species
GCCUGAGUGGCUCAGUCGGUUGAGCGUCCGACUUUGGCUCAGGUCACGAUCUCAUGGUUCGUGAGUUCGAGCCCCGCAUUGGGCU